rnacentral:rRNA from 1 species
UACGUAGGCAGCAAGCGUUGUUCGGAGUUACUGGGCGUAAAGGGUGUGUAGGCGGUCGGAUAAGUGUGGUGUGAAAUCUCCCGGCUCAACUGGGAGGGUGCGCUACAAACUGUCUGGCUAGAGUGCGGGAUGGGAAAGUGGAAUUCCUGGUGUAGCGGUGAAAUGCGCAGAUAUCAGGAGGAACACCUGUGGUGUAGACAGCUUACUGGACCAUUUCUGACGCUGAGACACGAAAGCGUGGGUAGCAAACAGG